CCUACGGGUGGCAGCAGUGGGGAAUAUUGCACAAUGGGGGAAACCCUGAUGCAGCAACGCCGCGUGAGUGAAGAAGUAUUUCGGUAUGUAAAGCUCUAUCAGCAGGGAAGAAGAUGACGGUACCUGAAUAAGAAGCCCCGGCUAACUACGUGCCAGCAGCCGCGGUAAUACGUAGGGGGCAAGCGUUAUCCGGAUUUACUGGGUGUAAAGGGAGCGCAGACGGCAGUGCAAGUCUGGAGUGAAAGCCCGGGGCCCAACCCCGGAACUGCUCUGGAAACUGUGCGGCUAGAGUACUGGAGGGGCAGGCGGAAUGCCUAGUGUAGCGGUGAAAUGCGUAGAUAUCACGAAGAACCCCGAUUGCGAAGGCAGCCUGCCGCAGCGUUACUGACGCUGAAGCUCGAAAGCGCGGGUAUCGAACAGGAUUAGAUACCCCAGUAGUC
rnacentral:rRNA from 1 species